rnacentral:lncRNA from 10 species
AUGAGAAUGGCGGGGUGGGAUCCUGAGGGGGGAUGUGUGGAACAAUGGUCUUGAGGUCAGGAAGGUAGAGAAGAGGAACGUUUUCACUAGAAGGGAGAAACAAGGAGAGGAAGUGGACUUUUACUAACAUUCCAGACUGAGUAGAAACCUGGGGAGCAUGUCCAGCUGGCUGAAGAACCUGGUAGAGAACAGCAGCCCUGAGCUUGAAUUCCUUCCCCAACUUCACAGAUGAUUCCUUUGGGAAUGUCACCCUCUUUACCAAAGCCUAAUUUCUCCCACUUGUGCUUAUGAAUUUGGAUACAAACUGUGCCUCCUCCAUUUCUGGAAUCAGCUGUCCAUUGAUGGGAAGCCCUUAAAGGAAUUCCAUUUGCUGCUCCAAUUCUGACCUCACAGACAUCAUUACAGAAUCAUUUUGGAUACUCAAGAGAUUGCAAUGCUCCAAAAAAAUUGUUGUUCUCAGAGCUCCUGGAAACACAAAGGGCCAACAGAAAAUCUCUCCAGUGUUCUGGAUGUCAGAGAGAAAAAAUCACCAGUAUCAUCAUCAACAAAUAUUAACAGAACGCCAGUGGAGUGUGAGGACUGUGCAAGGAGCCUCGGGGGAUGCAGAGAGACAAAAGACAUGCCAAGACACUCAUAAUCUACGUGAAAAGACAGGACCCUGACAUGCUUAGAUAAACAGCAGCAAAAUUAGCUCCUCAAUCUUUUGCUACCCUGUCCAUCCAAUCUCCAAAGACAGUGCAUAGACCCAUUAUGGCACUUAAAAUAAUUCCCAUUUAUCUGUUUGGCUUUCUAUCUCAUUCAAACAGUGAGUUUCCCAAAUACUGAUGAUUCUCUCUUUUGCAAUUUCAUACCCCCAAUGCCCACUACAAUAUUUGAAAUACAGAUGAUGUUCAGUAAAUAUUGAUUGGAUGGAUUUCAAUGGACUGAAGGCGAUUUAGGCAGGCAACUUAGACGCAGAGGUAAAAAAAAAAAAAAACCUAGAUGCAUAGUUAGAAAAUGGAUGUCAGAACCCUGUUUUAGUUUCUUGGCUAUAUGGGUUACCUUCUCUAUGCCUCAGUUCUCUCAUAUCUAAUCUAGAAAUAACACUUGCCUUGUAGGAUUGUUGUGAAUAUCAAAUGAAAACAACUAUAAAAGUAUUCUGGGUACUUGCAUUUAAGUAUAAGGUAUUAUUAUGCUAAAUGAUUGGUACAGGUGGUAAAUGCUAAAGGAUGUAUAAUUAACAUAACUGGAAAACAGGUACAUAAUUAAGUGAAGUUGCUUAAUACCAUCUAAUGGUAACUCAGGGAAUUGGGAGUCGUUAUUCUCUCCUGGAAAUGUCUAAUCAUUCUCUUCCAUGUGAAUGUACCAUAAAUGUCAAAUAAUAAACUGACUGUUAUGUGAUUUAGGAAAUUCACAUGGCUCUUUUUUAUCUAUAAAACUACAGUCUUACAGGGCUUCAGUUGACUAUCUGCAAAAAGAGGAGCUUGGGUUGGAGAAUCUUCAGUUUCUUCCAGUUUAAAUGGCAUGAGAAUUGACUUCCACUCAAUUCUACCAGCCAAAUGAACUCAAACUGUCCAG